rnacentral:rRNA from 1 species
UACGAGGGGGGCGAGCGUUGCUCGGAAUUACUGGGCGUAAAGGGCGCGUAGGCGGGUCGUUAAGUUGGGGGUGAAAGCCCAGGGCUCAACCCUGGAAUUGCCUUCAAUACUGGCGACCUUGAGUAUGGCAGAGGUGUGUGGAACUCCGAGUGUAGAGGUGAAAUUCGUAGAUAUUCGGAAGAACACCAGUGGCGAAGGCGACACACUGGGCCAUUACUGACGCUGAGGCGCGAAAGCGUGGGGAGCAAACAGG